CUCACGCAUUCGGACGCAAGUGGAAUGUAAACAAAUUCUAGCGUGAGAGAGAGAGAGGGAGAGAGGCAGCUCCGUGAUUUAAGCCUGUUUUCUAAGCCUACAGAGCGCCUAGGCCUACGUGUGAGGUGUGAGGAGAGCGAGACAGAGCGAGAGAGAGUGAGCAUGGACCACCUCGCUCUAAAGUGGAACAACCAUAGACCAGCUUUCUUUCAACUCCUUCGAACACUGAGAGAGAAAGGCUGGCAAGCAGAUGUCACGCUGGCCUGUGGGUCUCGGCAGUACAAGGCCCACCGACUGGUCCUCAGCGCCUGCUCGGAGUUUUUUGCGGAGCUCUUUCACCAGUCGGAACUCUCCAAGAUUGUGGUCGUACUGAAGGAUGUUUUGCCCCAGGAGAUGGAAGCCCUGCUGGAUUACAUGUACCUGGGUGAAGUGGAAGUCCCCCAGGCGCACUUAAACACACUUAUAAAGGCUGCGGAAGCACUUCAGAUCAAAGGCUUGGCAGUUCCUGAUACUACUACUACAGCUGCUACUACCACUACUACUACUACUACUACUAC